rnacentral:rRNA from 1 species
GUAGUCUGCAACCCGACUACAUGAAGCUGGAAUCGCUAGUAAUCGCGGAUCAGAAUGCCGCGGUGAAUACGUUCCCGGGUCUUGUACACACCGCCCGUCACACCAUGGGAGUCGGAAAUGCCCGAAGUCUGUGACCCAACCGGAAGGAGGGAGCAGCCGAAGGCAGGUCGGAUGACUGGGGUGAAGUCGUAACAAGGUAAC